UUCGAUGAACUAUGCCGCACAAGAUGUUAUUGGCUUCUUUUGGCUUUAUUGCUCCAUUAGUUCUAUAGAUUUUCUCCCUUUUGGUGGGGUGCAAGGAAUGUUAGAUUACAUGAUUAUCUUUUCAUGAUGGCAAGAAUAAGGUUUAGGAAGAUUAGGAGUUUUGUUCCAAUAGAACUACUUGUUUCAUAGUGCUUUAAGGUGAGGUGUUUGAUCUUCUUACACAUUCGUCGGGUGUAGAUGUUUCACCAUUUAAUUAAAAUUAAUGGUUGAAGUUGGUAAGGGUUGUGCUUGGUGCAUAUUACCCCUUCAUAAAAGAGUGUUGUCUUAAGACAUUGAUGUUGAUGUAUAGCUGCAUCCAAAUUUGAUGGUGUGAAAUUGGAGUGUUGAUUGCAACUAUGACAUGCUUUGAGCUUCAUUACAUGUUGUUUCAUGCUUGAUGUCAGGUCGUGUAGUUUCCUUAGACAAUUAGUCCAAGGUAGAAGUUCUUGUGUUAAUUAAGACCAAUAAUGGACCCAUGUUUUGAAUUGUGGUGCUAUAUGGGGUACCUUGGGUGUUUUGCUUGGAGUGGCCGAAUUCGAGGUCGAAUUCUUUUUAAGGGGGAUAGAGUGUAAUAUCCCAAAAAAAAAUGUUGACCAAAAGUUAAUCUCUGGUGCGUGGAUGAGGUAAAGGGUUGUGGGCCAUUGGAUGCAAAGAUAGAAGUCAUCUGAGGCGUCGUUUCUUUCUCCCACAAAAAACCCUAGGUGGCCACCCUUUUUUCCCUUCACCCCCCCUCUUGGCCGCCACCCCCUUUUUCUCCCCCUUGGCUGGACGCCCCCUCCCCCUAUGGCAGCCAUCCUCCAUUGCUUCCUCCCCCAAGAUCUCCCCCUACGCAGCAAGGAUCGAGAAAAGGAGGGGCACGUUGAAUUGAAGAGGAAGAGAGGAUCAAGGAGAUGUUCUUCCCCAUCUCCUCUUGAAGAUUUCUUGGGGAAAACCUAGGUAUGGAUGAGAUCCUUGUUCCUCCCUGUAAUUAUAGGCUUUUGGAGGUUGUGGAUCAUGGGAAUUAAAGGAUUAGAGGUUGGAUUUGAUGUGGGGUUAGGUUUUGAUCUCGAAUUUAGUUUUCUGCAGAAUGGCAGAUUCGACAGUUUCUGUUCAUGCCAGUUUUCCGUGGUCUUAGUGGCCUCAAAAAAAUAAAAAGUCUAUGUAUGAGUCGUAGAUAAUUUGUAGAUCUUUCCGUGGCCGCGAAGAACACCUCAAUCGGACAUCCGACCAGAAAGUUAUUGCAGUUUUACUAUAGCAGUUUUUCAGUCUCAUAAUUCUGUGCAGAAUCUGUUCUCUUAAGAUUUAGGCAAUUUUAUCAACAGAAUUAAACUGUGGGUUGGUAAAAGAAGUUGUAGAUAAUUUUAUAAGCUUUCCAUAUUGUUAAAGAGUGCAUUCAUAUGAUUUGUGAAACUCCAGUUAUGUUUGUUUUACUGUGGCUGUUCCUGUUUACCUGACAAAAAUGAGUGGGUCUGUUCACUGGUGGGUUUCAUCUAGUAAAUGGCCGAAUUGGCUCUUCCAACUAUGGAGACUUUUGUAGAGGGAUAAAAGUUCUUACUUCCAGCAGAAUUUCAUAAUUGUUGGUUCAGCAGUUUUGGAGAUAUCGAAUUUUAAAGUUAACCAUACUGCUGUCUAAAACAGAUUCAGUCAGUUAUCUUGUCAGAUGUUUUAGAACUUGUAGAUGGCAGAAUUUAAUUAUCUAUUGAAUACUGAAGUUGUAGAGUAUUUUGUGUAGAUACUCCUAGAGUAUUUGUUUGAUAUCACCGCUGUUUUAAUUUUAAAGAUACAAAAUUAACAAACAGCGUUGCUGCUGUAUGGCAUGUGGUUCAGGGUGGGAGUCUUUCCACUGGGUCUUGGUUUCAAGUGUAGGAGUGUUUUGUUGAUUGAUGGCGAAUGUUUGUGAAAUAUUUGUACUAAGUUUUAUGCCCACUAGCAGGUGGCUACACUCCAGAUCAUGUCUAGUACAUUUCUUCUUCUUCGAUGAAGGCAAGUGAAUGUAGCGGUGGUUGCUUCCAUUCUGACAUGUUAUUUCUAUCGCCUACACUCUAAUAUUCAGAAGUAUCAGAUUCUUUCAUAAUUGGACUCUAUGGUGAUGCUUUACUUGCUUGCAUUAUACUGAUGCUCAAUCAUAUAUUCAUGAUGAUUAUGAUUUGAGUAUGACUCAUGAGAUUAAUUCACACCCCUGAAGGUAAAUGAAGUAUUAUUUGAGGUUGGUAUUGUAUCUGAAGGUAAAUGAAGUAUUAUUUGAGGUUUGUGUUGUAUCUGAAGGAAGUGAAGUUUAUUGAUAAAUGUAGCAUGCCAUAUACAUUACAUCACUCAUUUGCAUAUGAAGUUUUGUCGUGACCUAUGGUCCGACCGUACCGGUACAACUUAGCAUCGUACGUUGCCCGAGAAGGGGUACGAUGCGGCUUCAUACCCUUAGAGGUAUGAAGGCAGAGGACAUAUGCAUUGCAUUCAUAUGCAUUCAUUGAAGUGAUAUUUGCAGAUGAUGUGGUUUUAUACCCCCAGAGGUAUGAAGAUAGAGUACCUACACAUUGCAUUCCUAUGCAUACAUUGAAGUGAUAUUUGCAGGUAUUGUUGACGCAGGAAAGUGUUAUAGAACCUAUUGUGGUUGUUCGAGGAAAUGAGAUGGUAUUGGUUAUAGUGGGACUACUGAGUUCUAUAUCUACAAGCAUUUCUGAUUUUUAAUUGUGACUCUUUUAAAAUGUUGAUGAAUUCAAUUUGUGGUUUAAAUAUCUCGUCAGAACAAUUAGCUUGCUGAGAUGUUUCAUCUCACUCUUGCAUUACUCAAUGCAGGUGCUUGUUGCUCAUCAAGGGGAGUGGGAAGUAGCAGCACAUCCACCUUCAUUCUCAUAACAAUGCUGCCGAGACGCAGCCAUGAUUUAAUUAGAAACUUCUUGUCAAAGGAUGUUUGUUUUUAACUAGUCGUGCGCACUGAUUAAUUCAGUUCAUGUUGUUAUGGUUGUCUUCCCAUUGCUAGCAGAUUAUUAAUGUCUUAUAUGUUUUCUUAUCAUGAUAUCUAUUUAUACUUUGUUGCUUCCCCCGUUUAUGCAAUUUUCAAAGGAGAUGUUGUCA
rnacentral:lncRNA from 1 species